rnacentral:lncRNA from 1 species
UUGUAAGUUAGAUUAAGUUUAGCUGGGUGAUUUUCUCAUCUAUUAAAAAUUGCUAGGAACAAGCUAUUACCGAUCAUUAUCAUCCACCAUACAACUAUGAUGGUUUACACUUUCAUUAAGUUAGGAAAUGCUUCCAUUUCCAUUAGAAUUAGGUGGAAUUCCCACUGCUCUGGUUUUUCAAAUUUUGGUUUAGUCACUGACUAUUGCUAAUUUAACUAGGCCAUACAAGGUUGUGGAAGUAAAAAAGUUAAAUUGAAAUUAUGGAAAAAACAACAAGUGAACUGGAGAACCGGUUGACUACACUGGUUAGACCAAUUAGCCUAUUGGUAGUAUGCUUGACCCCAGUUGUUGUGUUUCUUAAGAUUCUCAAUUACUAGGCUAUGCGUAGUAGUUCUUGUUGAUGAAAGUAAUCCAUGACAUGCUAUAAUUUGCUAAAUAUAUUAUUUUCCCAGUCUUUGAAUGCUUCAUUUUUAUGCUCCUGUUAAUGAAUUUCAGUUUCUUCAUCUACAUCUUAGUUUUUGUGAACAAAAAUGUCCCAUGGUGUUAUCACAUUUCACAGUUAAUGCGGACUAUGUCUGAAUAACCAAUCAAUGCGGAUGAUUUUGCAAGUUGGUGGAUUUUUCAUAGUACCAAUGUUAAAUAUUAGUCAUGACUUGUAUAUAUGAGGUCACCACUUGAUAAGUAAUGCACCCUAUGAAUUAGUUCUUAUUACUAUUAGAAUAUCAUUCAUUGGUGAACACUAAAUAUUUGUAAUUGAACUUCUUGUUUUCUUUGUAUAGUUCAAUGGUGUUAAUAAUGCCUCGUGCUAGAGGAAGAAUUGAUAUAGCAUGGUGACAUUGUAGAGAGGUUUUAGAAACUGGUAAUAAUGGAAAUUUAAAAAAAAAAAAAAAAAAAAAAACUCAUUUGCUUGUAUUGUGGAAAGACUUUUGGUGGAGGUGGUAUUAAUCGAGUCAAACAACACUUAACGGGAUUAAAAGGUGAUGUAGAUUCUUGUCGUAGAGUACCUCCUGAUGUUAGAUUUUAAAUGAAAGAAAACUUGGACAUCUUUGUGCAAAGAAGUGUAGAACUCGAGAAGUUCUUGAUGAGUAGAACGCACAUAGCUCUUAUUAUUGGGAACAAGAAGACCACACGUAUAGACAUUUGGGUGAUGAUGAUGUUCAAGAGAUUAUCCAUUCUAGUUCUCAAGGAAAGGAUAUAGCUAUUGAUAAAAGUCGAAGAAAAUGAAUGGGAGCUAAACAUUUAAAAGAACAAAAAGGAGUUGGUUCUUACUUCAUGCCAAGAACAGGACCUGGUAACCAACCUACUAUCAAAAGUGUUCUCAGAGCAAAGAAGCUAUAGAGAAAUGUGAUCUCACUAUAUCAAAAUAGAUGAUUGAUUCAUGUAUUCCUUUCAAUGCUAUAAAUUCUGUGUAUUAUCAACAAAGUAUAGAUGUCAUAGCUAGCAUGGACCCUGGCUAUAAAAGUGCGAACUUUCACAGUCUCGACUAAAAAUGUCGAUGAGGUACAAAAUUAUGUUGAAAGCUAUCGUUUAAUGUGGAAGACGACUGGUUGUACAAUUAUGGCAUAUGGUUGGAGACAUCAGUGUAAAAG